rnacentral:lncRNA from 1 species
UAUAUAUGGUCGUAUUUAUGCUGGCCUUCAAGAUGUUUAUUUUGGACCCACUUUGAUGUAACAUAUUAAUGCUCACAAUUUUCCCUACUCUAGAAGAGCAACUGUAAACAUUUUAGUCAUGGAGCAGCCUGGUUUCUGAAUUUUGAGACACUUGCUUCAUAUUUGGCAGUUCUCUGCACAUAAUGAGGAGAGGAUGUCUUCGGCCUUUCACGUAGCCACCAUUUAAAGCUACCCCCACCUUCCACAUGUCUGCCCCAUCUGCCUCCCUUCAAGUUUGCCUUUGUUAUGCAGUGGAAAGAAUGGGCAAAGUGAAGAUGAAAAGCACUGAAAACCACUACAGAUAGAAAAAAAAAUUUGAAUAAUUCCCUUAAAAGUGGUUUAAUUCUGGUUGCGCCACAGAAUAAAAUUCAGAUGUUGCUAUGCUGGAGUCAGCAUUGGAUGAAUUUGCCUUCCCAGAUGGAGUGACUAACAUUUCCAAAAAGUUGGACAUUGUCAACUUUUCUUCCUACCCUCCCCAUACCAUACAGGUUUGCACUGGAAUGGAAUCCAAACGGGAUAAAAUACUAUGAAGAGCUGUUUGGAAGAGCUGCAUGGGAAGUCAACCCUUUCUCAAGACUUAAGGGAGCCACCUGCAAAGUAUCUCCUUCAUUACCAUUGGGAUUCCCAUUGUAUGCAUUUCUGGGAUUUUGGAUCUCCAUAUUUCAAGGUACAGAAAUGUUUUUUAAAAAGGAUUACAGAUUUAUCAUCCGCUAGAUUUUAUAAAGCCAUUGCUGCAUUGUUUAAUCUCCAAGAGAUGGUUAUAAUGUCAGCAAGCCCCUACUGUUUCAAAGACUCUUAAGUUUAGUGGCAGAAAGGACCUUGGAGGUCAUCAAGUCUAACUACAUCAUUUUUUCAGUCAAGGAAACUCAGGUCAAGAAAGAUUAAAUGAUUUUCCCAAGAUCAUGUACCCAGUAAGUUUCUGAGAAAGCAUUUGAACGCAAGUCUUCCUGCUUCCAAGUCCAGUACUCCAUUCACUGCAUCAAAUCUUGGACUAAUUUGGAUGGAGCAAACAUUGUGGUCUACAAGCUGACAAAAACCACAUCAACGAUUUUGAAUGUGUGGAUGUGGUGAUGGUUGAGCAGAGAAGCAGUAAGCAAAUUCCAGCUGCCUAACAUGUCACUUUCUAUGAAUGAAGACCAUCUAUUAAAAUAAAAAAUAGCCCCUGGAACCA